UGGGCAACCUGCCCCUCUCUCUGGGAUAACCCCGGGGAAAACCGGGAGCUAAUACCGGAUACUCCGGCUGGAUCGCAUGGUCCGGCCGGGAAAGGUCCGCCGGAGAGGGAUGGGCCCGCGGCCUAUCAGCUUGUUGGUGGGGUCAUGGCUCACCAAUGCGACGACGGGUAGCUGGUCUGAGAGGACGACCAGCCACACUGGAACUGAGAUACGGUCCAGACUCCUACGGGAGGCA
rnacentral:rRNA from 1 species